AUUGAACGCUGGCGGCAUGCCUUACACAUGCAAGUCGAACGGCAGCGGACCUUCGGGUGCCGGCGAGUGGCGAACGGGUGAGUAAUAUAUCGGAACGUACCUUUCAGUGGGGGAUAACGUAGCGAAAGUUACGCUAAUACCGCAUAUUCUGUGAGCAGGAAAGCAGGGGAUCGCAAGACCUUGCGCUGAUUGAGCGGCCGAUAUCAGAUUAGCUAGUUGGUGAGGUAAAGGCUCACCAAGGCGACGAUCUGUAGCGGGUCUGAGAGGAUGAUCCGCCACACUGGAACUGAGACACGGUCCAGACUCCUACGGGAGGCAGCAGUGGGGAAUUUUGGACAAUGGGCGCAAGCCUGAUCCAGCCAUGCCGCGUGAGUGAAGAAGG
rnacentral:rRNA from 1 species